UCUGGUUGAUCCUGCCAGUAGUUAUAUGCUUGUCUCAAAGAUUAAGCCAUGCAUGUCUAAGUACACACGAAUUAAAAGUGAAACCGCAAAAGGCUCAUUAUAUCAGUUUAUGGUUCCUUAGAUCGUUAACAGUUACUUGGAUAACUGUGGUAAUUCUAGAGCUAAUACAUGCAAUUAAAAACAUGAACCUUAUGGGACAUGUGCUUUUAUUAGGCUAAAACCAAGCGAUCGCAAGAUCGUUAUAUUGGUUGAACUCUAGAUAACAUGCAGAUCGUAUGGUCUUGUACCGACGACAGAUCUUUCAAAUGUCUGCCCUAUCAACUUUUGAUGGUAGUAUCUAGGACUACCAUGGUUGCAACGGGUAACGGGGAAUCAGGGUUCGAUUCCGGAGAGGGAGCCUGAGAAAACGGCUACCACAUCUAAGGAAGGCAGCAGGCGCGUAAAUUACCCACUCCCAGCUCGGGGAGGUAGUGGACGAAAAAUAACAAUACAGGACUCAUAUCCGAGGCCCUGUAAUUGGAAUGAGUACACUUUAAAUCCUUUAACAAGGACCAAUUGGAGGGCAAGUCUGGUGCCAGCAGCCGCGGUAAUUCCAGCUCCAAUAGCGUAUAUUAAAGUUGUUGCGGUUAAAACGUUCGUAGUUGAACUUGUGCUUCAUACGGGUAGUACAACUUUACAAUUGUGGUUAGUACUAUACCUUUAUGUAUGUAAGCGUAUUACCGGUGGAGUUCUUAUAUGUGAUUAAAUACUUGUAUUUUUCAUAUGUUCCUCCUAUUUAAAAACCUGCAUUAGUGCUCUUAAACGAGUGUUAUUGUGGGCCGGUACUAUUACUUUGAACAAAUUAGAGUGCUUAAAGCAGGCUUUCAAAUGCCUGAAUAUUCUGUGCAUGGGAUAAUGAAAUAAGACCUCUGUUCUGCUUUCAUUGGUUUUCAGAUCAAGAGGUAAUGAUUAAUAGAAGCAGUUUGGGGGCAUUAGUAUUACGACGCGAGAGGUGAAAUUCUUGGACCGUCGUAAGACUAACUUAAGCGAAAGCAUUUGCCAAAGAUGUUUUCAUUAAUCAAGAACGAAAGUUAGAGGUUCGAAGGCGAUCAGAUACCGCCCUAGUUCUAACCAUAAACGAUGCCAGCUAGCAAUUGGGUGUAGCCUACUUUUAUGGCUCUCUCAGUCGCUUCCCGGGAAACCAAAAGCUUUUGGGCUCCGGGGGAAGUUAUGGUUGCCAAAGCUGAAACUUAAAGGAAUUGACGGAAGGGCACCACCAGGAGUGGAGCCUGCGGCUUAAUUUGACUCAACACGGGAAAACUUACCAGGUCCGAACAUAAGUGUGUAAGACAGAUUGAUAGCUCUUUCUCGAAUCUAUGGGUGGUGGUGCAUGGCCGUUCUUAGUUCGUGGAGUGAUUUGUCUGGUUAAUUCCGAUAACGAACGAGACUCAAAUAUAUUAAAUAGAUAUCUUCAGGAUUAUGGUGCUGAAGCUUAUGUAGCCUUCAUUCAUGUUGGCAGUAAAAUGCUUAUUGUGUUUGAAUGUGUUUAUGUAAGUGGAGCCGUACCUGUUGGUUUGUCCCAUUAUAAGGACACUAGCUUCUUAAAUGGACAAAUUGCGUCUAGCAAUAAUGAGAUUGAGCAAUAACAGGUCUGUGAUGCCCUUAAGAUGUCCUGGGCUGCACGCGCCCUACAAUGAAAGUAUCAAACGUGUAUUUCCUAGACCGAGAGGUCCGGGGUAAACCGGCUGAACCACUUUCAUGCUUGGGAUUGUGAACUGAAACUGUUCACAUGAACUUGGAAUUCCCAGUAAGUGUGAGUCAUUAACUCGCCAUUGAUUACGUCCCUGCCCUUUGUACACACCGCCCGUCGCUACUACCGAUUGAAUUAUUUAGUGAGGUCUCCGGACGUGAUCACUGUGACGCCUUGCGUGUUACGGUUGUUUCGCAAAAGUUGACCGAACUUGAUUAUUUAGAGGAAGUAAAAGUCGUAACAAGGUUUCCGUAGGUGAACCUGCGGAAG
rnacentral:rRNA from 1 species